rnacentral:rRNA from 1 species
UCCGUAGGGCGCAAGCGUUAUCCGGACUUACUGGGCGUAAAGGGCGCGUAGGCGGCCUGUUAAGUCGGACGUGAAAUCCCUCGGCUCAACCGGGGAACUGCGUCCGAUACUGGCGGGCUUGAAUUCGGGAGAGGGAUGUGGAAUUCCAGGUGUAGCGGUGAAAUGCGUAGAUAUCUGGAGGAACACCGGUGGCGAAGGCGGCAUCCUGGACCGACAUUGACGCUGAGGCGCGAAAGCCAGGGGAGCAAACGGG